GCUUGGGCUGGCUGCUGGGAGUGGAAGGGCCAGUCUCCUGCCUCCAGAACCUCCAGGCAGGUAGGAUCGGGUGCUAGAGACCCGGGGAGGGUUUCUGCUUUGUCCAAAGUCCCCCAAAGCCGCAAACUUCGCCGACAGAUUAUUAAACCUUGGGGUGCAGAGGUAGUUUAACAAGAAGAUUGCUCAACCUCAAAGGCCCGUUGGCCUGGAAGACUUGGAGAAUUACUGUUUGAGUUCACCAGAAAGGCAGCAGUGGGCAGGUGCGGUCCUGAGGCUUGCCAUUUAUAGUUCAGGUGAGACAGCUUCGGGGAUAACGAGAGAGACAUUGGAACUACAGAGACUUCAAGUCCUCAUCCUUCUUCGACUGCGUAAUUCCAAAGACCAGGCAUUGCUUCCCUGGAGAGCCUUCUGUCAGUAAAAUGAAAAUAUGAACACCUGCUUUGCCAUCAGGUGAAAUAUCCUUCUUUGGAAUAGUCUCAAUUCAAUCACUGCUGUUUAGCAGAAACUGUGUUAUGUCCUGUUGUCUUCGGGUAUUUAAAAUGGAAACUAAAACCACUUGUUUCUCCAAAAGUGGGGGGCUUGAAUUUAUCUCCUUCCUUACCAUUCUGUACAUUAAAAUAUAGUGUAUAAAUAGAGUCUGCAGAUAUGGGCUAUCUGAUGUUAAUAAAAAUUAUCCUGAAAA